UUUCUUAUUAUUUCAAGUUUGGCAAUGCAGAAUGUUGAACCUAGGCCAGGCCAGAAAGAUUUUGGCGAAAAUCUGUCACAACAGCUGGCAGGCAUUUCCGUCGAAAUUUCAGCCUCGCCUUCAGCUGCUCCAACUACUACUCUGUCAUCUUUUCUUCAAGAUUGGAAGAGCGUCCUG